GGCACUCAUCAGUUAUUUCUGGAGUGGACAAAUGAAUCAAAAAUAUACAUAUAGUGCUAAUUUUGAUGAUCAUUAAGCAUAAAGUUACAUUUUACCAGAAAUGUAUCUCUGAGAACAGAGAGAUUAUUAUUUGCAUUUUUCUUACAUUUAGCUGAUGUAUUUGUGAAUAUUACUUUAUUCUAGAAAGAAGGCGGCUCAGGCUCAGUAUCAGUUCUCUUCCUGCCUUUUGUCUUUAUAGAUGUGAGCGCUGAGAAAUGCUUGUUCAUAUGAAUAAGCAGACAGGCUUGAAAGGUGUUUUGUUUUAUCAAUGCCAUUCUGUCCUCGGAGUUCAACGUUAAUGGCCAAAAAUCAUGGUUGUCCAGACUCAAGCAUAUUCCUGUGCCAGUGAUGGUACCAGUAGACCCUUCCUGAGUGUGGACCUGGAAUCCCUGCAGGCUGACUCUAGAAGAGAGAGGACAGCACAGUCAGGGAGCCAACUCUGUGCUGAGGGAGUCUGCGGAUCUCAGGGCUGUAUGGCAACGGCAUCCAGACCCUGGACAUACUCCUGCAUGCCAUCUGCUGAGACUUUCUACGUUCUCCAAAUCAUAAAUUGAGAAACCUGGCUUGACAGACACUGUGGUACUGCCUCAGCCAACCACAAAGGUUUUUAGAAGCAAGAAGAGAAUGAAGAGGAGUGGACCUCCUAAAAGAGCUGUAAUAUUGAAGACAGUUCAAGACGGCAUGAGAUGGCAAGGACAGAACAGCCGAGCAGCAGGGAAACAGCACAGCAAAGCCAAGCAGCAUAGAAGUGGUGGCAGCAGUACAAGUAACGGCAACCAUGACUCUGGCAGACAGUGGUGGUGGGUGAGUCGGCCCAUAGAGUGGAACUGGGCACCUCUGGGCAGGAGGUCACCAGUGGAACUGGGCGUCCAGUAAAGGAGAAGGAAUCACAGUCCGGGUCCAUGUAGGUGAAUGCAUGAGCAGAGCAAGUAGCAGUGUGGGGACUACCUUAGUCAUCUGGUGCUGCUAUAACAGAAAUAUCACAAGUGGAUGGCUUCAACCAAGAGAAGUUUAUUCUCUCACAGUCCAGUAGGCUAAACGUCCAAAUUCAGGGCGCUGGCUCCAGGGGAAGGCUUUCUCUUUCUGUUGGCUCUGAAGGAAGGUCCUUGUGAUGCAUCAGUGUUCCCUUGGUCUGGGAACUCUCAGCGCAGAACCUCAGGUCCAAAGGACGCCCUCUGCUCCCAGCACUGAUUACUUGGUGGUAUGAGGUCCCAAACUCUCUGCUUUCUUCCCUUUCUUUUUAUCUCUUGAGCGAUAAAAGGUGGGGCAGGCCACACCCCAGGGAAACUUCCUUUAUAUUGGAUCAAGGAUGCGACAAGCCCACCCUAAAUAUUCUUAACAUAAAAUUACAAUCACAAAAUGGAGGACAACCACAGAAUACUGGGAAUCAUGGCCUAACCAAGUUAAUACACGUAUUUUUUAGGGGACAUAAUUCAAACCAUGACAGGGGCCAAGCUGGUCUACCCUUAGCAGCAGCAGAUGAUUAGGCUGUGCUGAGAGCUAUAACCCUAAGGCCAAGAGGGGCCCUGAAGUGCCUAAGAGAAGGCAUUCCCAGAAGUAUCAGCUGGCACAGCAGAGAAGGGCAGUCAGCUUGCUUGCUCAGCUGAGAGUAAAUAAGAGAGCUGUCCAGGUUGGAACCUGUCCUGAGUGAUAAACUGCAUCUUGUGUCCUGAGUUGUACCGUGUUACCUCCAAGUUGAUCCUGAUCCUGAAUUGUACUUCCCUAAUAAACCACAAAACUGUGAAUAUGUUUGGUGAGUUCUGUGUGGCCAUUGCAACAAGUUAUCGAACCCAGCAUGGAAGUACAGAGUGCCAUGGUUUGUGUGUGGAGGGGGGUGGGGUGGAGUGGUGGAACAGCUGGUGUCACGAAUGAUAAAAAAUUAGGAGUGGAGCUGUGUCUGACUUCCACCUCAUAGGAACUAGAUUUUUGUGCUGACCCUGAUUCUAUUCCCUCAGCAAUCUAGAUGAGUCCUGAUGCUAGUAAACAACAGUAUUCACAGCAAACAGUAGGGUGAGUAUCGACUGGAUAAAGGGCUUUAUCUACUCUACUUUCAAGAGCAAGUUUCAGAGUCUUUUCUGACAUUUUUGCCUUUUCUUUCUUUCCUGUCUUUUUAAUGACCUCUUGCUUUCUUCAUGUAUGAUGUCCGUCCACAACUCACCUGGUCUUCGGUCAUUAGUGUUCAAUGCGUCAAAUCUACUCUUGAGAUGGUCUCCAAAUUCAGCUGGGAUACACUCAAGUACGUAUUUUGGCUCUCGCAGACUUGUUUUAAUUUUAUUCAGUUUCAGUUUGAACUUGCAAAUGAGCAACUGAUGGUCUGUUCUACAGUCGGCCCCUGGCCUAUGUCUGACUGAUCAUAUUGAGAUUUUUCCAUCAUCUCAUUCCACAGAUGUAGUCAGUCUGAUUCCUGUGUUUUCCAUCUGGUGAGGUCCACAUGUCUAGUUACUGUCCAUGCUGCUG